CAGUAGCCGCGGGAAAACGUAGGUGGCAAGCGCUGUCCGGAAUUAUUGGGCGUAAAGCGCGCGCAGGUGGUUUAAUAAGUCUGAUGUGAAAGCCCACGGCUCAACCGUGGAGGGUCAUUGGAAACUGUUAAACUUGAGUGCAGGAGAGAAAAGUGGAAUUCCUAGUGUAGCGGUGAAAUGCGUAGAGAUUAGGAGGAACACCAGUGGCGAAGGCGGCUUUUUGGCCUGUAACUGACACUGAGGCGCGAAAGCGUGGGGAGCAAACAGGAUUAGAUACCCCUGUAGUCCCUGUCUCUUAUAC
rnacentral:rRNA from 1 species